rnacentral:lncRNA from 1 species
GCCAGUUAAUCUUUUUAUUUUGAGUUUUGUAAAAAAAAAAAAAAAAAAAGCUUGGAGAAAAAUGUGUUAAAUAUAGGUCAAUGGCAGGAAAACAUGUAGCUAGCUUUACAAUAUCAAUCAAAACAUAUACACAAAGGCAAACAGUAAAUAAAAUGCUAGGGAAAGGUAGCACUUUGGGGGCCUACCUGCAGUUUUCCUUAGUGCACAUAAAGGUUACUGAUAACUCCAAGUCUUCACUUUUUCACAGUUAAACAUACUUUUAUUUCAUAUAUCAUGUUUAUUUCUAUAACAUACUAUAACAUUAAUCUUUGUAAGACCACUGGUUUGCUACUGAUGAAUGGAAAUAGAAGACAAAAUUCUCCCCAAUUACAUUGUGUAAGCUCUUAAAAAGUUCCCCGGAAGGUCAUGUCAUCUCACGUUAAAUUCAUCCUAUACUAUUUUUAAAAACUGCUCUUCGGCUAUUAAAUGAAUCUUGGUGGCCUUCCCAUUUAAUCAUUUUAUCGGACACAGUGAAACUGCCUAAGUAAGAAGGACCAGGUGUGUUUUAUGUAAAAAAAUGAUAAGACAACCUAGGAGGAGGUGGUCCUACUGUGAAGUCACUCUUCGAACGAGUGAUUUCAGUGAUACAUUCCAAAUCCACAGACUUAACACCCACACAACGGGAAGUCAUUCCUCUGCUUCCCCAAAGCCCAUGACUGGCAUCAUCGCAACUGAAGUGCACCCCAAAUGUCCAGGCAGUUGGACCGUCACCCAGUAGCACGGGGGUCUUCACUUCUUUCAGUGCUUCAGACAGCAAGUGCUGGGCUCUGUGGUGUUUACAAGCCUCUUUCUGAAUUCCUCAACAUACACAGGCCCUGCAAUUUUCCACUGACCCUAACAUUUUGGCAAUUCUGCUAAUCGUUUUUAGAAGGCAGCCACCUGAAUAGAAGGCAGCCUCUCUUGGGUCUCCAUGUGCCUCUCAGGGCUUUUCAAAAUGCGGCAGGACAGGAAGACCUUCCUUCUCAUCCUCUCCCAGGCUCAUGUGGCAGACGACUGGCUGCCUACGUGUUCCAUGUGGGCUGUGGUUCUACCCUGCUUACAAAAAUAAAACUAACAUCAAAAACUUUGGUUUUGUUCAUUACAAUUUCUGCUCAUGCUAGGUGACACGUUUGUUAGUUAAGAAAAAAGAAAGCUCUACUUAGAAAAAUUGAAACUGGGAAAAGGGUUUUAUUUCCAGGUCUGGUUUUGAAAAGAUUGUCAAAGAACCUACUUGUUUUUCCUUGUUAGAGACUAGCAUUGCUUUCUGGAGCAUUUCUCUGUAUAUUGUCCUUAUUAGGGUCUAAGAAAGGUGGAAAUUCUCUUCAGGUGCCAGAGUGAAAGCAGCAUUCAGACGGGUUGUUGCUAACUCUUGGCCACUAGACUUCCUUCAGCUUCCUGUAGCAGAGUACAGCAUCUCACACUGGUAGGCCAGAGUUUCACUUGAAGACCAACAUAAGAGAUCAGAACUCAGUGAUACCACUUGAAUGCAUGUGACAGGCUCACUCCUACACUAACUCAUCUGCAGCAUCAACAUCAAGAGGCGUGCAUGAGACCUGCCAAGUUCCCUGUUGCCGAAGUGGAAUAAGAAGUCACAUUAUUAUUGAAUCAGCAAGCUGACUUUCCAGAAGCCCUUGUUCCAGAUUACAUCUUACAACAGACGGGAAAAUCAGCUUUGUGAUAUGCCUCUUAGAACUCACCAGGGGAAAAAAAAAGAACUCACCAUGGGUACCCAGCUAGGUGUUCAAGAGGAUGAUUCUCUCAUCCGUUGAGUGGCUCAGUGGCCUCACCACCAGUGCAUCACUGGUGUUUCUACAUUUAGAAAUUGUUCUGUUCAGGGACACCUGGGUGACUCAGUUGGUUAAGUGUCUGUCUCAGGGUCCCAGGGUCCUGGGAUUGAGCCCCUCUUUGGGCUCCCUACUCAGCGGGGAGCCUGCUUCUCCCUUCUCCCUGCCUGUACUGUCUCUUGCUUUCUCUUUCUCAAAUAAAAUCUUUUUUAUAAAAGAAAUUGUUUUGCUCGUAUUAAGGUAUCUGACACGGUGACAUUGACUUCCCCCGCAAAGAAAGAGAGAUAACUGGACAGGAGGGCAUGUGUGUGUCAUGAAACAGCCCUCUAUUUUGGAAGGAAAUUGCCCUAGACUGAAAUGUUCAUGGACAGCUGAGAGAACGUUUUUCACGUUUUCUAAAGAGACUUAAUUUGUUCACCAAACCACAGAGGACAUUUUCAGGUCUCAAGAACACAGCCUGAAAGUUCCUUGCUGUUUGCCUGAUGAAACAUUUGCUGUCGCAGUGUGAGACCUGGCUGCAGGGCAUCAAGUUGCUUGUUCAGCUGCCCCAGUGAGUACCUCGGAUGGGCAGAGUCCAUUUAAUCACACAUGCCUUCUUCCUAUUUUUGCAGCCUCAUCUAAAGUGCAGAUUUCCUUCUCGAAGAGACAAGGUUCAGGUCUCCUUGUAGUCCCAAAAGAGAGUAUUAAGAGGAAUGGCUGGAGUCUGUCCCUCCCCUCUGCUGGCCCUAUCUGGAAGUUUACCAACACCGCUGCCUUGUGACCUGGAAGUGGUCACAAGCUUCCACUCACCUGGGGCCUCCACUCAGGUGUUACAUGGGCCCACCCCCAUCCUCCGGAGCCCAGCAGGGAUUCAGACCUGGGGACAAGCUACGUGUGAUGAGAAAGAAAGCUGACUUGAAUUGCAAAGGGGACUCCAUUUCAUCCUGGGUUAUGUUAAAAUGACAAGCUUCUCCAAAACCUUCACACUUGAUAGCUGCUCAGUUAAGACCAAGCCUCUUUCUUUUAAGCGGCCAAGAGGACAGGUUUUCAAUCCCCACUCACCCACCCAACACAUCCACUCAAGUCACCCUUCUCUCCCUUUUAUGCACUAAGGUGGUUCAAGUGUGACAUUUUCAGUUGUCCUUUAUGGAGUAUGUUCUGGAGUUCUGCAAAGAUUAUUUGCAUGAAACUCUUUCACAGCUGUCCAAUCUAUAUUAAUUGGUCAUCACUCAGAUUGUUCCACAGGACUAAUGAUUAAAGGAAACUUAAUUUGCUAGGCUAUUCUUCAAGGUUCCAAAUAGGGUCCACUCCAGGUUGUGGACUAAAAGCCUCCUGACCCUGGCUGCACACUAGAAUCCCUGAAGAUCCUCAAUAAAGCACUGAAGCCAGGCCCUACUCUAAACCUACUGAAUGUGAAGCUCUGAACAUUGGGCCCUUACACUGGUAUUUUUUAAAAACCAACUAGGGGUGGUAGAAGGGGAGGAGGGCGGGGGGUGGGAGUGAAUGGGUGACGGGCACUGGGGGUUAUUCUGUAUGUUAGUAAAUUGAACACCAAUAAAAAAUAAAUUAAAAAAAAACAAAACAAAACAAAAAAAAACCAGCCAGGCAAUCCUAAUGCACAGCCAGGAUUGAGGACUUGUCCUCUAGAACAGCUAGCUCUGCUGAACCAAAAUCCACCCCUCCAACCCAGAACAUAUAUGUUUAUAAGAUGUUAAAUCUGAGGCACUCAGCAGUUUCAAUCGGAUUUAUGCCAGAUUGGCAGCAGACAGUUGGCCUUGAGUUAGAUGGUUUGGGGGCUUCAUGGCACCUACUUUUCCCCAUUCAGCAAAGGUAUAAAGCUUCUAGAGAUGGAAAUAUUUUGAUGAAUGGACUCAUUUCCUAGCAUCUCUGGUAAGGUCAGGAUUAUUCUUCAUAUCUUGGAAACAAAAAUUAGGAUCAUAUGUCAGUGACUUACUCCUAUCCACUGAGUAAAAAAUCCAACCAAAUAACUACAACCCUAGCAAAAUUGUGAUCUUGGCAAAUCUCCAUUUACUUAGAUUUAAGUAGGUCCGAAUAAAACGUUUGGAGUCAAGACUACAAGACCCUUUUGGUGAAAACACAACAAUCUAUGUAUUGAUUUAGGACUAGGAUGGAGAACUCUGGUUAUUUCCCCCCCUCACGAGGGUAUUUCUUAUAAAUUUGACAAAAGCUUCUUGGAAAGCCAAAAUGCCAACAAAGCCUAGACUUUAAUGAGAAGAGGAUGGGUCCUACCUGGUUGGCUCUUUUUCAAGAACCCUAUCAGGGUUUUUCUGUUAGCUUUUUCCCUCCAAAAUUAAAUAAGUAAGCAACACAAGAGAGAAACAAGGUUUUAUAAAGACCCAACCAAAGAGCUGACCAGCCUAUCCCUCCAUCUCUGCAAAUCACACACACACACACACACACACACGCCUCACCUUUCAAGUUUACAGGCAUGACUGGUCAUUACUGAGGUAACUGUACUGAAUAAAGCCUAUGCGGGUUCUGGGCAUAGGCACAUGUGCACAUCUCCAGCCUUCUCCCAAGCCUGGGAGUCGCUCUCUGCACUCUGACCCCACGACAUGACUACCUCCUAUCCAGGGGCUCUCUAAAAAAGCUGUUUCUCUGGCUUGGGCUCAGAGAUUUUCUCAAGUCCCUGACUAGCCUAGGUAAUUCUGAGCCUUACAGGGUGAGAUAUGUUGUUUAGCUCACUUUUCAAGCUUACAAAGCCCAUGGAUGCCCAUGAUAAAAUAAAAAUGGAUUUUAGGAUACAUAGAAAGGAAAGAGGGGACUACAAAUCAUUUAAUUAUAUCAUAUCAAACCAUAUGAAAUUGCCAUUUCUAUUUUUUCAAAAAUGGUUAAAUAUCAGCAAUUUCAUAUGGCUGAACUUAAUAAUAUUUGCCAUUUUGCACAAAUCAUCAAUUCAAAAAGCAAAGUAUAAUAAUGUCUUAUCUAAAUAUUAACCAUUAAAAAUGCGAGUUAAGAAGAUUAAAUGGCUGGUUUCAUUUAUGGAAGCACUCGACUGGGCCACAAUUUUGUCUGCCACAAUAAGAAAAAUGCCCACAUUUUAUGAAAGCAAUUUUUUUUAUAGAUUGGGUUUUCACAUAUACCAGCACUGAAGCAGAGACACAGGGAGAAUCCCAAACUUGGUUUCUAAGGGCUCCCUCAGUAUUUUACCUGGGAGGCCCCAGGUGUGGGCAGGUAGUACAGUUCACCCACAAAGAAGCCAAACUAAAAACCUAAAUUUCAAACCAUGCUCACACAUUAAGCUGGUGCGAGCCUCCCCAGAUACCAAGAAAAUGACCCUUCUCUACAUGGCACUCAGUGUUAAGACAUCUGGAUUCUUAAUCUUACAGUAGGCGGAACCUUCCACGGGAUUGAAUAACGCUUAAUUUUCCAUUGACUUGCCUCUCAUUCCUCACAUGGCCACUGAAAUCCCAUGCAUUUAGUAUCAAAGUUUGGAAUUCUACUCGGUCCUUAGAACAGGAGCUUGUAUUUUGUGUUUUGCAGUCAAUAUUUUUUGCAGUGUGGUGUUUUUCCCCCUCUGGAUACUAGCCUAUUGCCUC